AUUGAACGCUGGCGGCAUGCCUUACACAUGCAAGUCGAACGGCAGCACGGGAGCAAUCCUGGUGGCGAGUGGCGAACGGGUGAGUAAAGUAUCGGAACGUGCCUAGUCGUGGGGGAUAACGUAGCGAAAGUUACGCUAAUACCGCAUACGAUCUAUGGAUGAAAGCGGGGAUCGCAAGACCUCGCGCGAUUGGAGCGGCCGAUAUCAGAUUAGGUAGUUGGUGGGGUAAAGGCUCACCAAGCCGACGAUCUGUAGCUGGUCUGAGAGGACGACCAGCCACACUGGGACUGAGACACGGCCCAGACUCCUACGGGAGGCAGCAGUGGGGAAUUUUGGACAAUGGGCGAAAGCCUGAUCCAGCCAUGCCGCGUGCAGGAUGAAGGCCUUCGGGUUGUAAACUGCUUUUGUACGGAACGAAAAGGUUUGGCCUAAUAAGCUGAGCUCAUGACGGUACCGUAAGAAUAAGCACCGGCUAACUACGUGCCAGCAGCCGCGGUAAUAC
rnacentral:rRNA from 1 species